GCCUCUGUGGCCAAACGGAUAAGGCAGCCGGUUUCUACCCGGCAGAUUGCGGGUUCGAUUCCUGCCAGGGGCA
rnacentral:tRNA from 1 species